rnacentral:piRNA from 1 species
UUACAUCUUCAGGAGCAAGAAGCAAGAGC